UCUUGUUAAAUAUUUUAAUUUUCUCAAAUGAAAUGCUAAUAAUGUCGUUAUUAAAAAAAAUACUGCAAAGAUUCUGACUUCUAUACAUGUGAACCAAAGCCCCAUUUACAACAUUAAGAAUACAGCAAGUCUGGACGACAUUUUUUAGUGACAUUUUUAGUGAUAUUUUUUAUUAUUAUAAUUUUAUUUUAUUUUUUUGUAGUA
rnacentral:lncRNA from 1 species